rnacentral:misc_RNA from 1 species
CAAAAUGCGAUAAGUAAUGUGAAUUGCAGAAUUCAGUGAAUCAUCGAAUCUUUGAACGCACAUUGCGCCCGCCAGUACUCUGGCGGGCAUGCCUGUCUGAGCGUCAUUUCAACCCUCGGGACCCCCCUUCGCGGGACCCGGCGUUGGGGAUCAGCCUCCCCCCCCCGGAGGCUGGCCCUGAAAUCUAGUGGCGGUCCGCCCAGCGAUCUCCUCUGUGCAGUAGUUCAUACCUCGCAGCUGGAUAGCGGUCGGUCCACGCCGUAAAACCCCCCACUCUUCAAGGUUGACCUCAGAUCAGGUAGGAAUACCCGCUGAACUUAAGC